AUUGAACGCUGGCGGCAGGCCUAACACAUGCAAGUCGAGCGGAGCGGCGGACGGGUGAGUAAUGCCUAGGAAUCUGCCUGGUAGUGUGGGAUAACGUCCGGAAACGGGCGCUAAUACCGCAUACUAUCAGAUGAGCCUGGGUCGGAGUAGCUAGUUGGUGGGGUAAAGGCCUACCAAGGCGACGAUCCGUAACUGGGCUGGGAGGAUGAUCAGUACUAGGAGAACGGAGACACGGUCCAGACUACUACGGAGGGCAGCAUUGUGGAAGAUUGGACAAUUGGCGAAAUCCUGAUCCAGCCAUGCCGCGUGUGUGAAGAAGGUCUUCGGAGUGUAAAGCACUUUAAGUUGGGAGGCGUUACCAACAGAAUAAGCACCGGCUAACUUCCUGCCAGCAGCCGCGGUAAUAC
rnacentral:rRNA from 1 species